CGCGCGCAGCGCCCGUCCCGGCUAGUGAGUGAAGUGCAGUGCGGACCUACCGACAAUAACCACAGUGACGCUAAACUACGGGGAGAAAAAACAUAAAAAUUCAGUUCCUCCUUUGUCCCCCACUGUCUGACCCCCGGGUUGUCCUCUGAACAUUGUCGAAGGCUCAAGAGACUCACUUCGAUUGAAGGAUUGAUUGAUUGAUAAACCAUAAGUGGACAUGAGUAUGUUAAGGAUUUGACAACAAACGACGCCACAUAUUUGCUUCAGUACACACAUAUCAGCAGCGAUACUGGGAAGAAAGGAAUGAGCAACAAGCACAGCCUAAUUGCUUUACAUGAUCAAAACGCCUUUUAUUUUGCCCAGUA